AUUGAACGCUGGCGGCAGGCCUAACACAUGCAAGUCGAACGGUAACAGAAAGCAGCUUGCUGCUUUGCUGACGAGUGGCGGACGGGUGAGUAAUGUCUGGGAAACUGCCUGAUGGAGGGGGAUAACUACUGGAAACGGUAGCUAAUACCGCAUAACGUCGCAAGACCAAAGAGGGGGACCUUCGGGCCUCUUGCCAUCGGAUGUGCCCAGAUGGGAUUAGCUAGUAGGUGGGGUAACGGCUCACCUAGGCGACGAUCCCUAGCUGGUCUGAGAGGAUGACCAGCCACACUGGAACUGAGACACGGUCCAGACUCCUACGGGAGGCAGCAGUGGGGAAUAUUGCGCAAUGGGCGCAAGCCUGAUGCAGCCAUGCCGCGUGUAUGAAGAAGGCCUUCGGGUUGUAAAGUACUUUCAGCGGGGAGGAAGGGAGUAAAGUUAAUACCUUUGCUCAUUGACGUUACCCGCAGAAGAAGCACCGGCUAACUCCGUG
rnacentral:rRNA from 1 species